GGCUCUGCGCGGCCGGCCCGGCCCCUCUCGAGCCGCCAGGCCGCGUCCCCCAGCCUGGGCCCGCCUCCGCCCGUCUCCCGGGCGACGGCAUCAACACGCGUUCCACAACAGCAGCGUGACGCUCAGGGAUCCCCGGGGCGCCCCGUGGGCUCCCGCCUGCGCGAAGUCAGGGAGGACCUCGAGCGGGGGCGGCAUCCGGGACUGUGAGAGGAACGCUGAACCCCAGGGCUUCUGGGGAUCCCUGAUGGAAGUGGAGAUGGGCCCCGCAGCCAAAGCGGGGUCCCCAGAAUCCUAGGCCCAGCUGUGGACCUGGUGUUGAAACAAACAUGAUGUGAGGAGGCUGGCCACCCACUGAGGACCUCCUGAGGCAGCAUGAGACACUUCAGCAGAACGCCCAGUAAACGGAACCGACAGCCAGAGCCACCCACAAGUGGAAAGAACGUGGAUUUUAGUUGCUACUUCAGCUGUGUGACCUUGGGCAUGUCAUGUAACCUCUCUGAGCCUCAGUUUCACAGUGAGAUAUGAGAUGGCCUUUGUAGAUGCUCAAGAGUACUUACUGCCUGAUUAUGGACAUGAAUGGAUGAGCCAAACAGGAGAUCCUGGGCCGAGGGCGAGGCUUGGCACUGAGGGGUUCAGAGUGUAGCCCCUCUCGUCCUACCUCCUGGCUAUCCAGGCUGCACCCACCUGUGUGGGUGUGUGUCCCCACAACAUCUUAGGUGACAAUGCUGUUGGAGAAAGAGUUCUGGACUUGAAGUCAGGUCCCAGGUCUUACAAGCUGGGUGACUUACUCUUGGCAAAGCCUUGCAGCCUCUGAGCAGCCCAUCCCAUCAGCUGCUAAGUUGGGGAGGAGACACAUGUCCAAGGGUUACAUGAUCAGUAAGUGAACUGGCGAUGCUGAAGCAUAAGGUGGGUACUGUGUAAAUGAGCAUCCUUCCCCCUGUCCUGGGUAAGUUCCUAAAGGGUAGGAGUGGCUCUGUGUCUGUGCCCCCACUGUCCCCCUGUCACAGUUGGGAACUUUAUGCCUCUUGAUGGUGAUGCCCUUGUUUCAUCUCUUUCCCAAGGCCUCCCAUCCUUUCCUAACAAAUGAACAUUUAGUCGAAGCCAAGGAGGCAGAUCAUUUCCCUCUAAUCCAUCAGUAAUGUUUGGAGCACUGUGCUGGCACUGAUUCUGAGAUUGCAUCCAGGCUCAGUGCUGGAAAAGAGGGCUGUGAUUGAUUAGUGAUGUCUGUCCAUGA